CCUACGGGUGGCUGCAGUAAGGAAUAUUGGUCAAUGGACGCAAGUCUGAACCAGCCAUGCCGCGUGGAGGAUUAAGGCCCUCUGGGUUGUAAACUCCUUUUAUCUGGGAAGAAAUGUACUUUUUCUUGAGUACUUGACGGUCCCAGAGGAAUAAGCACCGGCUAACUCCGUGCCAGCAGCCGCGGUAAUUCGGAGGGUGCAAGCGUUAUCCGGAUUCACUGGGGCGUAGGGGUGCGUGUAUGGGCGGGUUGAAAUCUCCGGGCUUAACCCGGAAACUGCCGUUGAUACUAGUUGUCUUGAAUAUUGUGGAGGUAAGCGGAAUAUGUCAUGUAGCGGUGAAAUGCUUAGAUAUGACAUAGAACACCAAUUGCGAAGGCAGCUUACUACACAAUCAUUGACGCUGAGGCACGAAAGCGUGGGGAUCAAACAGGAUUAGAUACCCUUGUAGUC
rnacentral:rRNA from 1 species